rnacentral:rRNA from 1 species
UGGGGAAUUUUGGACAAUGGGCGAAAGCCUGAUCCAGCAAUGCCGCGUGUGUGAAGAAGGCCUUCGGGUUGUAAAGCACUUUUGUCCGGAAAGAAAUCCUUGGCUCUAAUACAGUCGGGGGAUGACGGUACCGGAAGAAUAAGCACCGGCUAACUACGUGCCAGCAGCCGCGGUAAUACGUAGGGUGCAAGCGUUAAUCGGAAUUACUGGGCGUAAAGCGUGCGCAGGCGGUUUGCUAAGACCGAUGUGAAAUCCCCGGGCUAACCUGGGAACUGCAUUGGUGACUGGCAGGCUAGAGUAUGGCAGAGGGGGGUAGAAUUCCACGUGUAGCAGUGAAAUGCGUAGAGAUGUGGAGGAAUACCGAUGGCGAAGGCAGCCCCCUGGGCCAAUACUGACGCUCAUGCACGAAAGCGUGGGGAGCAAACAGGAUUAGAUACCCUGGUAGUCCACGCCCUAAACGAUGUCAACUAGUUGUUGGGGAUUCAUUUCCUUAGUAACGUAGCUAACGCGUGAAGUUGACCGCCUGGGGAGUACGGUCGCAAGAUUAAAACUCAAAUGAAUUGAC